AUGUAUAAUUUUCCCGCGCUAUGAAAUGUAGGUCUUUCUUUUACAGUAGCUCAUUGUGAGAAACAAAAAGGUAUUAGCUCAGACAUUCGUAAUUUUAGCAUAAUUCAUUGGCAAAAACAUGGGACACAACCGCAACAUCUGUGCAACAAAAAUAACAGGAAUCUGAAACCCGAGAAGAGCAUUAGUCACGGGUGAUAAUUAAUUCAACCAACGACACACCUCUCCUUAAUUAUAUAAAAGGAAUCGAUUUUAAUGCAAAAUUCACUUAAUUAUUCCCUUGUUUAAUCAGACGUUAUGGUUUAAUUCAAAAUUUAUAAGUAAUUAGGGCAUUACACCUGUUGUCAUGUUGGCAUCUCAUGCAAAUUGACAACAAAAACAUUGAAUAGGCGUGGCCUUGGCAACCAAAAUAACAGCCGUACAGCCGUUAUCUUAUCAGUCAAAUUUAAUGAUUCACGGAUAAAACACAGUAAAAAAUUAAAAUUCACUCACCUCUUCCUUCAUCUCGCUCUUCAAAGCCAUUACAUUACAACAACCUGGCCGCACAAUGUGGCAAACAUUGAGAACAAAAAAACAGGUGUGCGGUUUUUUAAAUACACGGUGGUGUAAUCUCCUAUUACAGAACUCCUAUAUUUACUUUGAUUUUAUUCACAAUUUCGUCAUUUAAUGCAACAUGGUUGGCGACAUUGUUUAAAGGCUUUGCCCGCCAAUCUUUGAAUAAAAGAUUACUUUCAAAGAUUUUUCGGCGAUUUUGGAGGACAGGAUAGCAAUGAAACAAUAAUAGGUUGAAAUUAAUCUUUAAUCAUAAUGAAAUGUACAUCUGGGGUGGUUAUUCCUCAAAUAAAGUGGAAAUAAUAGUAAAGCAUUUUACUUCCAAGUGAUAUACAGCGCUAGUCCUAAAAUACAGUAUUUACAGGCUACAAAGGGUUUGGUUUAAAAAAAGUUAUAGCACAUACAGUUAAUAUAUUAUUUGGCAUAUAAAAUAUCAUUUCUUUAAGCUAACACUUGAAAUUUCUAUGUAAAAAACCUGCAGUAUAACACUACUGAAAUAUUUGCGUCACGUUAAACCAUAGUCAGAUUAAUUUUGCAGAAACAAUUAAACAGCCAAAACUCUCAAUAAAGGUCAUAAAGUUAAUAAACAUCAUUAAUAACGUCUUAUUUAUAGAAGAAACAUCAAAAUUUAAAUAUAUCCAGUUUCCAUACUAUCAAAACUUAAGUGACAACAAUAAUAUUCAGAUGAACUAUGACUAGGGAAAUAUCAUAACUUAAUGUGCAAUGACGAUGUAAACAAUUUAUUUAAUGACUCUACAGAUAAUCACAACACGAAAAUUAAAUGCAGACACAGUUUACAUUACCUCCUGAAAUAAAAAAAUGAAACAUUAAAUAAA